rnacentral:rRNA from 1 species
GGAGGCAGCAGUAGGGAAUCUUCCGCAAUGGGCGAAAGCCUGACGGAGCAACGCCGCGUGAGUGAUGAAGGUCUUCGGAUCGUAAAACUCUGUUAUCAGGGAAGAACAAAUGUGUAAGUAACUGUGCACAUCUUGACGGUACCUGAUCAGAAAGCCACGGCUAACUACGUGCCAGCAGCCGCGGUAAUACAA